rnacentral:rRNA from 1 species
AUUGAACGCUGGCGGCAGGCCUAACACAUGCAAGUCGAACGAGUGGCGGACGGGUGAGUAAUGUCCGGGAAACCGCCCGAUGGAGGGGGAUCACAACUGGAAACGGUAGCUAAUACCGCACACUCUCGGUUUUGCCCAGAUGGGAUUAGCUAGUAGGCGGGGUAAUGGCUCACCUAGGCGACGAUCCCUCGCUGGUCUGAGAGGAUAACCGACGAAACUGGAACUGGGAAACGGUCCAGAUUCCUACGGGAGGAAGAGGUGGGGAAUAUUGAACAAUGGGCACAAGCCUGAUGCAGCCAUGCCGAGUGUGUGAAGAAGGCCUUCGGGUUGUAAAGUACUUUCAGCGAGGAGGCGUUACUCGCAGAAGAAGCACCGGCUAACUCCGUGCCAGCAGCCGCGGUAAUUC